GCACGGCAUUUCCUCCGGGAGCAAGGUUGUAAACUCUCACCCAGAAGGCUUCUGAAUUGGUGUUACUGUAAAUUCGCCUUGUUGUGUCCAGGGAUACAAGGCAAUCCAGUUGAUCAGUAUGUGUCAUCCGCGACAGAAUAAAUACGACCAGCCAUGGGAAAACCUGUCUGAUUUAGAACAGAUGACAUCGCUUUCAGUUCCGGCACCCAGAAGAAUAUCACUUGCGUUUCUGGCGCUCAGAAGAAUAACACUUCCAGCAUCUACUCUGACAUCUGAAGAACAUCACUUCUGGUUCCCUUAUGUCACUUCCUGUCCAAUCCCUUAAAAACGCCAUCUUGACAAACCAUCGACAGUUCUGUUUUGGAUGCGGUAAUUGAGAAUAUCUCUGUACUACUGCAAGAAUCUUUUGCAGCCAUGAAUAAUAUAUGGGUGGCUGCCCCAGACCUU